rnacentral:lncRNA from 1 species
CUACAGGCUUGGCAUCUAAGUCCAGUUUGGCCAGGGUUCCCUCUGUGUCUCUCAGUGAUGGUGCAAAAGAACCAGCUCAGAUAGACAAAACACUGUCAAUGGAGGAGCUACUGGCAUCUCCAUUGUCUUCUCAGUGGGCAAUGUCACCAGCCGGUUCUGAAAGAGUGUCCUCAGUCAGGAUACCCAGUAGAGAGGAGAGUGUGGGGAGAACAGCAGAGACACCAGAGAGGUGCACAUCUCCUGGAGCUUCUCCAAGAGUUUCUCCACAAACCUCUCUUGUCUCAGAUAUUUCUCAACAAUCCAGUCUGCCUAGGAUUCCCUCUGCACCAUCAAUAGACAGAUACACAUCUCCCAGAGUUUCUCAAAGAGUUUCUCCACAAUCCAGUCUGGCCAGGAUUCCCUCUGCACCAUCAAUGGAGGAGCUACUGGUGUCUCCAUCUGCUUCUGUUGGUAGAAUUUCUACAGCAGUUUCAAGACGAUCUUUAAGAAGUAGUUUGUCAGAAAGAGCUCCUUCUGAAACAGUCAUAAGAUAUUCUGAAAGCGUUUUAUCAGGAAGAGCUCUCUCUAAAACAGAACUAGUCGAUGCAGCCCAGAGAGGGUCCCCAGUCAGGAUACCCAGUAGACAGGAGAGUGUGGGGAGAACAGCAGAGACACCAGAGAGACACACAUCUCCCAGAGUAUCACCAAGAGUUUCUCCAAGAGUUUCUCCACAAACCUCUCGUACAUUGGGUACAAUUGUCAUCCAUAUUUCUGAGGAAUGCUCUACUAAUAAGCUACUAAUAAGACAUUUUGAGGAAAGAAUUGUAAAACUUGUAAGGCACAUUUUUUACAGUAUGUGCCUGAUUUUGUAUCUGCAUCCACAGCUCAUGUUGGUGAAUCUCUGUCUGGUACAGAUAUUUCUCAACAAUCCAGUCUGCCUAGGAUUCCCUCUGCACCAUCAAUGGACAGAUACACAUCUCCCAAAGUUUCUCAAAGAGUUUCUCCACAAUCCAGUCUGGCCAGGCUUCCCUCUACACCAUCAAUGAAGGAGCUACUGUUGUCUCCAUCUGCUUCUGUUGGUAUAAUUUCACCAGCAGUUUCAAGAAAACCUUCAGAAACAGCUCCUUCUGAAACAGUCAUACGAUAUUUUGAAAGUGAUUUAUCAGGAAGAGCUUUCUCUGAAACAGAGCUAGUUGAUGCUGCACUGAGAGUGUCCUCAGUCAGGAUACCCAGUAGAGAGGAGAGUGUGGGGAGAACAGCAGAGACACCAGAGAGACACACAUCUCCCAGAGUAUCACCAAGAGCUUCUCCAAGAGUUUCUCCACAAACAUCUCUUCUAUCAGCUCAAGUUGGUGAAUCUCUGUCUGGUACAGACAUUGCACCACAAUCCAGUCUGCCCGGGAUUCCAUAUGCAUCAUCAAUAGAGGAGCUACUGAUGUCUCUAACUGCUUCUGUUGAAAGAAUUUCACCUGCAGUUUCAAGAUCUUCAAGAAGUAGUUUGUUAGAAAGUGCUUCCUCUGAAAAAGCAACAAUUAAAGCAGUAUACAGAGAAGAGAGUGUGGAGAGAACAGCAGAAACAACAGAGAGUCACACAACUCAACAAGUGUCUUUCAGAGCACCUUUGGCAACAUCUAAGACAAGAGUAUUUUCUGAUGUGGCAAUUUUGUACAGACCAUCCAUUGCUGAAGGCCUUUGUCUUGAGGUCUUGGACAUGGAGUCUGACCAGGUGAAAACACCAAUGAGUGACAUCACUGCACAAGCUCUGUCUCACACUGCAGCAAUGGAAACAGCUCAGGAUACAGUCAGGAUACCCAGUAGAAAGGAGAGUGCAAGGAGAGCAGCAGAAACACAAACAUAUUUUGCAUCAGGAUUAUUGGACAACAGUACACAAGUUUCAGGAACUUCAGUCCGCCUUCAUGAAGAGGUGACUGCCCACCCUACAGAAGUGCAGCAGGGGACCCUGCAACUUGGAAUUCCUCUAGGAGUUUCUCUAGGCAAUAUGGUUGGGCCUCAAAACACACGGUCACAGAGUGUACAGACUGGACCAGAUUAUCAUGGCCCGCCCUCGCAUAGCGUUCCUAUUGAAGCAGGACGUGUCAGUCCUGAUGCUCAGCCUGCCUUCGAGAAUUUCACCAAUCAGGUCUGGACACUAUACCACUUGGCCAAUGAGACGGAGGAGGGCACACUGUCCACUAACACUAUCUCCCAGCCUCCGUUCAAUGGAAGUGCUUUCAUUCGCAACUUUGGGUCUGGACAUGUGUUACUGGCAGAGAGGUGCCCUUCCCCUCAACAGUCUGACCCCCAGUCCUGGUGUGGCCGACCCAGACAACAGCCCCAGCCACCACCUUUCCCGAUGUACCCAAUAAGGGCCUUCACACCCAGGUCACAGAGCACAACCCUUCGCCCUCCACCCCAGCAUCCAACUAUCCUCAACCUGGAGAUCAGCAUCCCCAACUACUUCCUGUUCCUGGAUGGCAACCAGGUGUCCCUGAGCCAGAGCGCUCGUAGUGUUCCGACUGCAAUGUUUUCCAGGUCGAGAUCUGCUGUGGUCAGGGCGGAUGACCCCCAGGGGGACCUGUCCUUCUCCGUUCCAAUGGAGAUGGUAAACGGAGGUUCCAGUCGGGACGGUCAGGCCCAGUUCCUGCAGGUCAUCAGUGAUGAAGGAAAUACUGUUUACUCCCCCGCUCUCAUACGCAUUGUCACCUCUGAACCCACAGAGAAAGAGGACCAGAAAGGAUCCAGGAGGUGGCCAACUAGUGCCCCAUUUAAUUGGUAGGGGACUGUUGUCUAGUAUCAAUAAACAUGUGUGCAUAUCAUUUAAAACGUUC